ACAAGUACCCAAGUAACACUUGCACGAGAUUGUAACCUUUGAAAAGAACUUCCACUUUCGUUGGACUCCUAGCAUCCUGCCUGGCGGAUGAUGUGCCAAGAGGAACUGUAUUUCUACUCAUGAUGAGCACGAGCACGCUAAGACCUCACAUCUGAAUUCUCAUCCAACAGUGGUGCUGAUUUUUCUUUUCUUGGCCAAAACUUGGGGCCCUUCUGCUUCCAGACCGUUAGGAUUAUAGUUGUGUUUGACCCUCCCCAGCUCUCCUAUGAGACCUCCCCUUCUGGCGUUUUGAAUGAUCUCUGGGCCUCACUCAUACUAGACCUCGUCCAAAGUCGAGAAUUAAUCAGCAACGUCUUCAAGCUGCUGCCUGAAUCCAAGCUUCUCGCCGCCCCCACUAGCAUCUCCCGAGGCCAAGCCACUAAUUUCCUGCCGAGACUAAUAUCACCGUUCCUUUCCAGUGCCCACAUGGAAUCUGUUUUCCACACAGGAGUAAGUGUGGUCGCUUUAAGAGAUAAGCCCUGCUGUUUUCUGUUAAAAAACACUGCACUCAGAACAGAACCUCAGCGCUUCAACAGCCACGGGGACUUGCUAAUCAAACUAUACUGUGGGGAACUGUCGUAUCAGACCGCAAGGAUCUUUCAGAGUUACGUAAUCUCUGCUUCAAACGGAGUGAACCAGAGCCAGCACUCGGGCGACUUCCGCGUGUGAUUCCUGUGCAGGUUAAAGUUCGAGAAGGAGCAGCUUAGAGUACUGGUCAAGAUCCCGCUCAUCGGCGUCUCUGGAAUCCUCUCUUGCUGUCUGGCUCUCUGGAUUGUUCCAUUCUUGUGGCGCUUCCUACCUGCAAAGUCAUCUUAGAGACCCCCCCUUUUUUUUCUAUGAAAGUCGCACUCCCCACGCCAUCCUCUGCCCCUCCUCUGUCUUUCUAUGCAGUCUUUAUUACGAACUAAUAUCAAGCUGGUCUUUGUCUAGUUUUUAAAGUCCACAGUGUGAGGUAAACGCCAUCAAAUCCAGGAGAUCUUGUUUACUUCAUGUGCAGAUACUCCGUCAACGCACGACAAAUAUUUGAACUUUUCAUACAAGAUAACCUUUCCCCCUGCUUGCACUCUCAAUUGUUCCUUUCUUAAAAAGACAAAACCAAAACCAGAAAACACUCCCAGACCAUUGCUGACCGUAACAGGGAAUUUUACUAGUUAAAUACUGUCUUCCUAUUUUCCCACCAGGGUUAUUUUCCUCUUCGAAAUCUUCCUCACUGUUCUAGCUCUGGAACAGCUGGUUCCUCAUCGCUGCACAGUGCGUUAAAGGAGGCUGAGGAUGAGUUGGGGAGCACCAACCGAGUUUUCUAAAGGAGGCUAAAUACCAUGUAUACUUUGUUCCAGGCAAGGGUUUUUUCUUUUUGCUGAGGAAUUCAUUUCUUUUGUUGUGUGGCAGGUACCUCUUGGAGCUUCUAGACUCGAAGUUCUUCAUAUCAAAGAAGAAACCUUCAACUUCAAUAUUGCUUGUAAGAGUGUGGCAGUAAACUCCAGCCAGAUGGUGGCAACAUUUCAGGCCUGAGGAAUCAACAGCCUUAUCUCAGAUCUGUGAGGCCUUUUGCUCUCCAACGAGCCAAGGAAGAUUUUGAAUGUGAUUGUCUGCCAAAGAGCCUAGGUAGUCCCUCUUAUAGAGACAUGAGUGUUCAAAGCUUUCCUCAGAAACAUACAGAUACACACACACACACACACACACACACACACACAUACACACACACAGAAACACAUACACCCUCUCACAUACAUACACAUACACACAAACACACAGUGACACUGCACACGCACUCACAGACACCAUAUGCACAUACACUCACAGACACCAUAUGCACAUACAUACACAGAUACCAUACAGACACACUCACAGACACCACACACACACACACACACACACCAUACACAACCAUACACACAUAUACACCACACACACAGAUACACACACACAGAUACACACACCACACCCUCCCACAUACACACACAGACACCACACACACAGAUACACACACACAGAUACACACACCACACCCUCCCACAUACACACACAGAUACACACACACAGAUACACACACACAGAUACACACACCACACCCUCCCACAUACACACACAGACACCACACAUACACACCUAAGCGACCACUGCAUCACACACACACACACACACACACACACACACACACACUACAUACAUAUUCUUUCUCUCACACAGACACAGAGACACCAUACACACAUACAUACACAGAUACCAUACAGACAUACACACAUAGACACCACAUAGCAUGUACACACACACACACACCACACAUACACACACACACACACCACACCAUAGACCACACACCAUACACACAUACCACACACCAUACACACAUAUUACAUACACAGACAUACCACAUCACACACAUGUGCACACACUUGCACACAUGCAUGUACACAUACACACACAUGCCUACGCUAUUUUAAACAAGGAUGUUUAGUUAUCAGUCCCAUCAUGAACCUGCGUUCACUUCAGUGUUACUAAAACACAGGCUGUCGCUGUGCUCCUGAAGAAUUCUUCUCAGGAUCCCAUUGCUCCCCUGCCUCCCAGCCUGGGAAUUCAGUCUCUUCUCUGUCAUUUCUACCAUAACCUGGUUAGCUUCUUCGUCCCAGUUUUCUUUCUAUCGAGAGUCUCAUAACAGUGCCAAGAAUUUGUGAGGAUUUUUGGGGGAUGGAUGGUUUUUUUUGAGGGAAAUUAGAUAAACCAAGUUAUUCAGGGUCAUAUAAGAUUAAGAAUUAUUAAAUAUUAAGGAGGGAAAUUCUAGACAGUCCCCACAAGAUGUCUAACAGGAAUCAAAUCGCAGGGGUGUUCGCUGCCUGCAACCGUACUUCCUCAUACCUAUUUGCAGAGAGGAUGUGGCCCCUGACCCGGGUCACAGACUGCAGGGUUAAUUCCUUCAGGGGACAAUCUUAGGAGUUUCAAAAGCUGGUAUUAUAGCCCUUGCAGUUUGCUCAAUUACCUUUCUCUGAGGGCGAGCUAAAAGAAAGACGAGUUUAUACUACUGUCAAGCUUUCUGGGUAGAGCAUGACCUAGUCUCUAUGUGUUGGAUAUUGGCCUAGAACCUAUCAGACACAGUGGGGAGAUGUCAUGGCACUUAUGGCCAAAGCACUAAUUUUACUUAAUAAUGGCCCUGAAGCAAAAAGCAGUCACACUGGCAAUUUUAUUACUACUUCUUGUCAAAAUUGCUCUAUUUCAUUAUUAGCUGUUGCUAGUCUCUGAGAAUGUCUCCUGUGUGAGUUAAGUUUGUCGUGGCGUGUAUGGGAAGGAGCACACUGUGCAUAUGAGGCCCAGCCUUAUCUUAACUCUGGGGCAUGUAUUAAGACGUCCUGACGGUACCCUUCACAGACAGGCUGGCCCAUUGACCAUCCGAAAUGGUACAGUCUAACUUGACUACCUCGAUUGCUUCAUUCUGUCUCCAUUUCCUGUUGGACUCUUAAGUGUAAAGGUUCAUCCCUGCUACACAUCCUGGCUUGUAUUUCUGUCGGACACAUCAGUCCUUGUCAGGAUGGACCACUCAGCUACAGAUUCUAAGCUCUGGAAUAACUAGGCACGGAACAGCAUAGAUCCCAAGGAAAAGGUAAAAGGGAAAAUCCCCUACAUUUAUUAAUUUAUAAUUAUACGAAAUAAGUCUUAAUGCAUUACUGACACUCACAAUGAUAAUUGAACUGAUCUAGACAUAGCACUUUUGAAAAGCAUUGGAUUCAUUUCCAAUGUUCUGGCUUAUUUUAGAAACGGACGUGGGACAACCUUUCCACUUAAAGACAUGCGACUCCCUGGAAGGGGCCUCUGCACAUUUAACUUCGCUGUAAGUAAACAAUGAAUGGGAUGAUAGCGUCUGAACAAAGACUGGUUUGUGUCUUUUGUUCAGAGCAAAGCUCUACACAAGAGUCCUGUCCCUGAGCAACCUUUCAGGGCUCUUUCGAACCCAGCAGACCUCAGCUGCACACGGCUCUAAGGUCUUCCCCACUUCUUUUAUUUUUUUUUAAAGUUCCAGCGGGAUUUUAUUGUCUUUGCUUCUUUUGUUAUAAUUAUAGUAUAGUCCGAAGGUAUAGAAGCUGUAAACUGAAUAAAUAAAUCAGUUUAAUCAAAGGGUGAAAAUUUCCUACCACUCAGAAUUGUCCAUGCAUACAUAUCUAUAACCACAGGACCCUGGGAAAUUGUGAUAGUUUUUAUAUUGCUUUGUAUCAGCAGGGUCUUCCUCUGUUUGUGACAGAGCUUGGGACAAGUAAAACCAUUAAUUACUUUCCUCUGAAUACUGACAGCAGACCAACAACUGCACACAAGUCAACAACAACACACACAACAACUGCACACACGUCACUUUUCCCUCAGACAGAAAGCUUGGAUGGAUACCAGUUCAGAGCGGAGACCUUGAACUUGGAAAUGUGCUUGUGGUUUUAGUUUGAUAGCCUAAUGAAAGCUUUAACCUUUCCUGGUGUAUCUUAAAUGUCUUGAUAACACCCUAAAGGAGGGCAGCCUGAGUCCAAGUACAAGCUGUGUGUGUGUGUGUGUGUGUGUGUGUGUGUGCGCACGCGCGCGUGUGCAUACUCAUGUGUAUGCAUGUAACAUGUGUUAUAUCAUAUAUUGCAACUUGAGAAUCUAAGAAAGUCCCGCAUCUACAGUGAGUGACACUGUGUUUGUGAGUCCCUACCUGACCCCAGUGUCAGAGACCACUACUGGGCUUUCUCUGUAAGGCUUUCGUCUGUCAUGAGACCACACGCCUGAGUUACCUGGCCUUCAUAUUGUUUUGAGGCUGUUGUGAUAGAUAAAUGACCAGAUGACAGUGAGUGGCUGAGAUCAUAUGUUUUGUGUGACGGAACAGUUAUGCCAGAAAUGAAUAGCAACUCAGACUCAUUUCGAAAAUGUGGCUACCCAGUGGGUACCCCAAGGCACAUCUGUAGACACAACCCCACCCUGUUUAUGUCCCCUCACAGGAGAAUUGAUACAGAUACAGGCUUUAUCAGAGAUUUGAUACCUGCCAUAUAUUUCUAGUGAUGUAAGCAGACGAUGUAAAAUUAUCUCUGUACCUUAAGAGAUCAGAGAAAUAACAGAAAACCUCUCAUUAUAAAAUAACCUUUCCUCAUUGAACAUUUAGAAAUUAUGAAGUAGUCAAAACAAAGACAGCAACCAUGCCUAAUUUCAUCCCCCAGGAAGCCAGAGACAUUCCUUGAAAUUAUUUUCUAUUGGAAAGUUGUAAUUUAAUUCACUGUCCAUAUUGGCUGGAAAUAACCAUCUUGCCUCCACCAGUCCAUGUGAACACUAAAGAAACUGAUAAACAGACCAAGAGUAUACACUUCACCACCCCAUUCCCAGGGUACAUAUACAUAAAGGUCACAACAAUAUGGUGUAAAGGUUUCAUCUAGAAAUACUGACAUAUGUAAUGUCCUAGUAAGGUACUAGACUACUAUUAUUUCAGAAGUAGGUGGCCAGAUUUUCAUUCUAAGGUCUUUAAAAUAGUCUUUGAUUUUUCUUAGUGACGUAUUGGGAAGAAAGACAGGUUUCUCUUAAGACACCCAUCCCACCCACACAUAGUGUCCCUUGUUGCCAGUCUCUCAUGAGAGUUAACUCAUUUGCCACAGCUGAUGAACCUACAUGACAUAUUAACAUCACUGGAGGUUAUGGUCUGUGUGGGGAUUCACUCUUGGUGUCUGAUGCAUCUGUAGGUCUUCUGGGUUCAGACAAACAUGUAAUGACAUAUAUCCAUUAUUAUAGCAACCUACAGGGCAUUUUCUCUACCCUAAAACAUCCCUCACUGCUAUGUCUGUUCCCAUAUUUUUACUAUAAUUCUCAUAUUUUGAUUUCAAUUUUGUAAAAAUUUAGUUAUGUAGUUUGUAGUAAAUAGAACUGGAAAUUUAUUAGCUUAGCAGAAAAGAAUUUUUACUUAGGAACUAGGGUUUUGUUUAUUGUUCCACCUGAGUGAGCGAACGCUUACUAUGACCACUUGUUUCUAAAUAUUCAACAAAAAAGAGAUGAUUAAUUUGGCCUGGGCAAUAAACUCUACCCAAUCUUUAAUGUUCAUUGAUUAUAAGCGAAUAAAACAUACCUGCUCUAUUAGCACCAACAUCAACCGGAUAAUAUGUUUACAUAAAUGAUAAUCAUAAUUCUCAUUAGAAGUCAUUUACAUAAAAUGUUCAUACUGAUUUGAAUGAUGAAUUAUACAUUCUAACUUUUGCUCUAGGAUAAUUACCAAGUGUUGAAUUAUUUAUGGAGCUUUCUACACAGCUAGUGGGGGUGCGGACCGGUGUAGCCACUUUAGGAAAUACUUGUGGAGUUCAGUAAAAACAGAACAUAUAUGUUCCCUCUGAGUCAACAGCUGUAGUUCUGAGUACGUACUCCAGAAAGUAGGUAAUUUGUACACACACAUACACACACACACACACACACACACACACACACACACACACACACACACAAACACACACAAAUGUAUGGGCUGGAGAAAUGGUUUGCCACAUAAGUAUGAGAACCCGAAUUCAAACUUUCAGAACUUCUAUGAAAGCUGGGCACAAUGGAAAUCGGAGACGGAAGAAUUUCUGGGAGCCCAGAGGCCAGCUAGCUUGGUAUUCACAAUGACCAGGAAGAAUUUGUCUCCCACAAGGUGGAAGAUGGGGCCCUGUACCCAAGUUUGCCUCUGACUACCACAUGUGUGUCUAUAGUCACAUAGAUAUCAUAUGUUCACAUCACACACGCAUACAGGCACAUGAAAGACUUUUAAAAUGUUUAACAACUUUUAUAGUAGUAUUUUUGGUAGCAGUCCAAAACUAGAGCUAUAUAUUUGUCAAGAGGAAAAGUGAAUGAAGUAGAUAUAAACAUAUACAUGCAUGCACAUAUAGAGAGGAAGAUUUUAUAGCCGUGAGCAGUGAUCUUUUUCUAUAAAGGAAUGCAUAGUAAAAUUAAUAAUUAGAAUGAAAAUAGUUAUAUUUAACAGUAUGGAUAAAUAGCCGACGGUGAGUGUAAGGACAUGUUCCUUAGUUCUACUAGUGUAAAUUGCAAAUGAAGAAGUGAUGAUGAAGUUAAGCGUGUCAGAGUAGAGACUUUGGGAGAAUAUGUCUAGAAGGAAGUUGUGGCGGAACGUUCCCUAAUGAUUAAAGAUUUCAGGGAGCCAAUCACUGGGCGAGUAGGCGGGACUUCCUGUUUGGAGAGGGGAAGAUGGGAAACUGUAGCAAAGAUGGGCUUUUGGAAGGAAGAUGGGGGAAGAGAAAGUCGUUCUAAAUUGCACAUGGCUUUAAAUAGCCACAGGUAGCUGUGAAUAUCUUAUAAGGGAUGGAUAAUUACAGGACGAUUUGUCUUAUCUAGGUGGGCAGUUUAUAUCAAUACCAACUGUCUCUGAGUUCAUUGUGUGGACGUUUUGUGGGGUGAGAGUUUACUGAUAUAAAUCUGGCUGAUAAAUUACAAGCCUCUAGGGUUUUGAUUUUUACCUGGUUUGUGACCGCUAACCACAGGGGUCGGAUGGCUGGGAAUGUGAGCAAAGAGUCUGCAGGGAUGAGAACAGAGAACAGGUCGGCCAGUCUGUUGGUCUGAGAAAAGGCCAGUCUGUCCGCCAGUGUCCUGCCAACGGUAGUGUGGGAUUCAUAGUUUUUUUUUUUUUUUUUUUUUUUUUUUUUUUUUUUUUUUGUUCUUUUUUUUUCCGGAGUUGGGGACCGAACCCAGGACCUUGCGCUCGCUAGGCAAGCGCUCUACCACUGAGCUAAAUCCCCAACCCCGGGAUUCAUAGUUUUUAUUCCACGCCACAGGAAGUAUUAAAAAACCAACCUGUAGUUUCUUAAAGAUGAGCCAACUUCGCAAGGCUUCAUUUUUCUAUAGCUUUAAAAAAUUGCCCAUUUUUCAGAAUUAAGGGACAUUUAAAUUACAAGGUAAAAACAGUAUAAAUGAAGAUAAAUCACUGAAAAAUAGUAUCAGGACAAUCAGAAGUGUUGAUACAUAUCUAAACGGUAACAUCGACUGUUGAAUGGCAUGAAGCUGUUAAGAAUAAAUGUGGAUGCAUAAACAUCAUUAGUUAAUCUUUACUCUUUGAAAGACCUCUCUCCCUCCCCCUCCCCCUCUUUCACUCCUCAAACAAAAUUUCCCUAUGUAGCCUUGGUUGGCCUAGAACUUGCUAUACAUAGAACAGGUUGGCCUGGAACUCACAGAGCUCUUCAAACCUCUAAUUUUGCCUCUAGAGUGCUGGUAUUUAAAGACAUGCAUCAGACCAUAUCUGGCUUAAAAUUUUCUCUCAAAGAAUAGCAUUUGGGACUACUAGUCUGAGAAGCUUUUAUAUUGGAAAACAAAAUUAACACAUAGAGUCUCAUUUUAUGUUUUUUUUUCCCUCUCCCCAAUCAGAGACUUCUCCAUUUUCAACACUUCAAUCACUACAGGGGGAAAAAAAUUAAUGUCUUUUAAUGGGCUAGAAAUGUACAGCGUUCUGCAGUCAUGAGCUUGAGAUCUUGUCCCCUGAGCUUCUAGGUGCUUGGCACACGAGUACGCUGGUCAAAGUUGUCAUCUUGGGGAAGAGUGGGAUACAAGGAAAACACACCGAAGCUGUUAGGUCUGGCCUUUUGGAUGAGUUUGAGUGGUGGCAGUUUAUAAUACCUAGUGUGUGUUUUAUGAAGAUCUAGAGAAGGGAGCUUGAAGGUUCCAAACGUAAGGAAAUGAUGAGACACAGAAAUGAGACUGGAGAGAUGAUUCAGUUGUUACAGGGCUAACUGCCCCCGCAGAGGACCCAGGUUCCUUUCUUAGCACUCCAUAUUACUCCAUCUCUAGGGAAUAUAGCGCCCUCUUCUGGCCUCUGCGGGCUCAGGUGCACACACAGUGCACAUAAACUCAUGCAGGCAACACACACACAAGUAUUAGAUACAUAAAUCAACCUUAAAAAAUGAGGGAAAGGCUAAUGACCUGAUCUAACAAUGGGUACACAGUGGAUACAAGUGUUGAACUAUCACACCAGACUCCAUUAUCAUAUAUAAUUUACAGGUUUAUAUAAAAAACUAAACCAUUAUUAAACAUUCAGAGGUUUGCUUAAGCCAAGUAUCAGUGAAAUCAUCCAAAAUAUAAUCAUAUUCAUUCAUGUUCUGUCACCCAAGUCAUCUUGGCUUUUCACGAGUCACCUAUCUUGUAAACAAGACACAUAAAGGAGGGCUUUUCUUGAUAUAAAAAGGAAAACAGAUAGAAUAGGUACCUUUCGCAGACUACCUGGUAGGAUUAAUGCUUAACAACUCUAUUCAAUAAGUAAUGCAGGAUUUGAGCACUAAGAUGUAAUUUCCCCCCAUGAAACACAGAAACUGUAUGUUUCAAAAAUUCAAUACUUACUUCAAAAAGAUUGAUUUUUUUUUAAAAAGAAGGUAAGAUCGCACAAUGGGAUUUUUGACACUACAGUAUGAUUUGUUGAAAGCGAUAGGACAUGGUACGUCUUCUCCUGUGUUUAGCAGACAUGCUCCAAGAACUGAUAGAUUGGUAGCAUGCCAUGGAAUAAUAGAGAUAUUGUUCUUCACUAGCCUUUUGGGAUUCUAAGCUCCAUUAGCAUUUUGACGUUGGUUCCCGGUCAUUCUCCACAAUGAAUCAGUUAAUGAGGGAGUGCAAGACAAGGGGACCACAACAUCACCAUGAAGCUGAGCGUUCUCACAGUCUUAUACUCUUCCCACAUCUAUCAUGGUUUACAGAUGUCCAGGUACGCGAAUUCCUCCUUGCUAUACAUACGUGCGUGUAGCACUCUAGACAGAAACAUGCUACAUAUGUUUGUAGCCUAGGAUACACACAAUCUAGGAUUUUGUACCAUUUAGCUCGGGUGUGGAGUAGGCUCUUCCUCUAGGUUUGUGUGACUCCAUUCCCAGAUAUUGGAAUAACGACAGAAUCACCUAAUUAUGUAUUUCUCAAACCAUGCCCCCAAUGACAAACAAUACAUGGCCGUAUUGCAGAAUAGAAUGUCUCAGAAUUAAACUGCCAAUUUUCUCUUGUGUUGCACAGAGCUAGAGCUCCUGGAAUCCAGGAUCAGAGUAUAGACAAAAAUAAAGAUUUGUUAGAUUUGAUAACACGGACUAUUUGGUUAGAUUACAAGUCACAAACAUUUUAAAGAUGUUGACCAAAAAUCAAAUGUAUCAGAUCCAUACAUAGUUGUCCACCUUGAAGUUGGACACCAGACAACAAAAAUCAAGGCAUUACCAUCAUUUUGGGAUUUUUCUUCAUGACCUUUUGGUGAGAAGCAAUUAGUAAGUUUUGUAGUGUUCAUGCUGGACUCACAAAUGUCGAAAACGUGGAUUAAUGCGUCAGUUGUGAAGGUUUGGGGCUUAUAAAAACUUCCUUGAGAAUGCACUCAUUAGUUACUUCUCUGUUAAGUUAAUGACCUAUGUAUUGGGAUUAAGAAUCUGAUGAAGAAAUAUUUAGGGAUCCUUUAUAAGAAACAUGACUUUUCCAUAAACAUUUAUAUAAUGUUCUGACAUUCAAACGAGGCAAAGGCAUCAAUUGGUGUAUCGGGAACAAGUAAGCAUUUUUUUUUAAAUAACAGGGAUUUAUUCUGUCAUAAAUAACAGUCAUUUCAUUCUGAAAGUGCAUGAUCAAUGCUUAUAAUCUCAAACUUUUUAAAGCUUUGUAUACUUAUAGCUAUGAAGCAAUUGGUUAGAUAUUGACAGCCCGAGGCCUCGUAAGGUAAUCUAUGUUUACAUAUGUCCACUUAAACGAUAAAAACUUGCAAUGAAAUACAUUUAUAAAAAUGCCCUCCCUUCAGCAAAAGGCUCGAGUACUGUUUUGGGGGUCAAGACUGAAAAGGAUACUGCCUGUGAAAUAUUACAAAAGCAUAGCUGCUGUGUGCAACGCUUGUAGGAAAAAAUCUACAUAACGUAACAUACACCGAGGCUGGUGAGGAGGAGGCGGAGCUGGAGCGGCCAAGGAGGAGCCAAUAGCUUCUACUUCUGGAAAGAACUUUCAUUCUGAGAGGGCGUGGCUUCAUACCACCUGGGCGGAAUUUGUAGAGAGGCCUCUCCUUAUAGGCCAAGACAGGCCAUACCAAAGCCUCGAGUCACCAUUGAAUGGUGCAAGUUUAUGUGUGAAUAUACAGUCUUACGGGUUUUUUGUAUCUUCGUGGGGUUGUUGCGUGUUUCUUUGGAGUUGUAGGACAGUGGUGAGUGCGCGUGUCAGAAUGACAGACAAGAAUGGGAACUCCAUGGGAAUGUGCAGGCACAGUGGAGAAUGGAGGGCAAAUGCAGUCUUUUUGUUACGGAGGGGAGGAAGUUGUGGGUUAGAAUCUAGGCAUCCCCAUGCAGGUUACCUUGGCCGGCCAUUGGAAGAGGAGGAGGAGACGAGGCAGCUAAGGGGAAAAGAGAAGGGGAGGGUCUUUAUGAGCAGAGAGUAUUUACUUCUCUGAAAUGUGUUCUUGGAAAGCGCUUCAAGUUUGGAUAUAUGUGUUUUAAUUUUAAGGAAAGGGUCUCGAAAUAUUAGGUCACAGUUGCUAACUUCAACCAGGUUCUCAGAACUGUUUCUGUGUAUGGGGCAACUGAUGUAAUAGAAACAAUAUUUUUCAAUGCUUUAACUUUUUUUUUGUAUUUUCUUAUAAUGUACAUGGUUAAAGAUAUAAGAACAUAGGGAUAUAAUAUAUAUGCUUGCAUAUAUUGGAUAUACAAUUCCAUUUUAUAUGUAUAUAAAUAUAUUACACAUUUUUAUAUCUCAUUUUGUAUAAUAUUAAUUUCAAAUAAAUAGAUUUAUGUGUUUAUGCCCUCUCUGCUCCUCCUCUCCCUCCUCCCAAAAGUGUCAGGCUGAAAGUGAUUGGAUAGAUGGAAUUAUCUCAGCCCUCACCCAGGAGGCUAUAUAUCCAUAUAAUGUUUCCUUGUCCCCUUAGCUCCAUGCUACCUUUUGUUCACGGGCCUGCUGGUUGCUGUCAUGGAUACCCAUAAGUCUCUCAGGCACUUAUUAGCCUGGGUCUCACUUGAUCUCUGUAAUGCUUCCUUCUGGUAUUAUCUUCUUCCUAUGGAAGCCUCUCCUCUUGGCUAAUAUGGCUACAGUGCCAUUCUCCUGCCUUUCUGUCCCCUUGUUCUAAGUCUCCUACCUUGUAAUGGGUCUCUAGACUCCUCUUGAACAUGCUCAAUCCUUAUGAACAUUCCUUCAACGUCUCUAGGUUUAUCCCAUGUCGAUCCUUACCCUGCCCUGAAUGAUACCCAUUUCCAAUAUAUACCUCUGCCCACAUGGAGUUCUUUCCUUCCAACUUCAAGAUCCCCCCUGUACCUGAGUUUUCUGGGUACCUCAAAUUAAUCACAUCUGGAAUUUAACUCAUGUCCUCCAGGUGCUGUCCUGGGCAGGAGGAAGCCAGCACCUUGUCUACUUAGUAGCAUCUCCUACAUUCAGUCCUUCGUGAAGUCCUAUCGAGGUCCUUCAACGACUCUCGUAUCUUGCAUGUUUUGUCUUCAGUGACAGUUGUCUCAGUUCAGGCAGGGCUCAACAUUCCUCACCUGCUCACUCCUAAGCUGGUGUCUCCUUAGUAGAAGACUCCUCCUGGACAUACACUGCUCCGAGCAGAUGAGCUGUCUCAAGCCUCUUUGUUCCUUUGUGGAUCCUUUGCUCACUAAUCCUUAAAUAGACUUUUUUUUUUUGGUCCUGCCCUACAGCCUUUUCUAGUUUUCCCUGUCUUCUUCAUACCCAAUUAGCUAUUUUGUCUUAUUUUAUUCUGCAGGCAUAGUGACCUUCUUCCUUAUAGAGUCGCUUGUACCUUUCAACACCUUUGUUGCCUAGAACUAUCAACACCUUUCCCAAGGGCUUUCCACCUCAGCUUCCCCAGGCUGUCCCCUGCUUUUCUUUUGCUCCUUACUGAUUAUCCGCCCUUUCCCAUGAGACAGAAGUCCAGUUUACUACAGUUUAACAGGCUGUGGUGCUGGGGUUUGUGUUGCUGCCCAUGACUCUCUCAAGGCUGAGUAUCACCGCCCUUGCCUGUCUGUGCUGGCAGGCAGUACACACAUAUAAAUGCCUGCUAACUGCCCAUGUCUUUCAACUGCAACUUUAUAUGCUGGGGGAGUAGAUUUACUAAAAAACACUUUUUCUCCCUUCAGGGAGAAAACACAGCGGACAUAAUACCAAAACGUCUAUCAUUUCUGGGUUUGACAACUCCGGUUCCUGUCGGUUGGUCUUUUCUCCGGUUGUCAUGUUCAGAUCUUAUUGGAGUCCAGCCGCACCGAAGAGCAUGCUUUGGCGCGUAAACAGCAACCUCCCAUGGGAAGAGACCCGAGAGCUGGGAGACGCUAGCUCACGCAGAGCGAUGCUGACUUUCAAGUACGAGCUUUGAAGGAACAGUGGGCUUGUGGAAGAAGAUUCGAAGCCCGAACCUCAGAGUGAAAUGAUUCUUUUGCGUAUUUUUAUAAGGAUAGAGAAGAUAGACUAGUGGGCCACCUCGUUCCUCAAACACAGCGUCAUGCCCCAGAGCAACCUGCUCGCUCUGCAGAGGAUCCUGCCUCGCUCACCCAUGUCAGCACUCGCUCGCAGCGCUCAGCAGAGAGUUAGGCACCCCCUCUCGCACUGCCCGCCUGCACAGAACUACAGACUUCAACUCAGAGACAGAGAAUAUUCUGCUUGGGAACUGCUCUUUCAUUCCCAGAGGAUCUGACCUGGGUACUGGCCGUGUUAGGGCCUAGCAGCAUGAAGUUUUUGUUUCAUUUUGGUUAUUUUGUUUUUGCUUGGGUUUUUUUUUUUCCUGUAACAACCUGGCCCUGGCACAUUUGAACAAUGCCCGCAGGUGACUACAGCUCCCACAAAUGAUCAGCAUGUAUCCGCUCAGCAAAUGAUGGCCUCCUAUUAGGACACGGGCAGGGAGAUCUUCCAGGUUGCCGCACGCUCAGCAGGGAAUAAAAACCGAGUCGCUGUUUCUGUAAUGUUUAUGUUCUGUGUAUAAUGUGCUGUGGCGGGAGGCUGAGGGACAGCAUGGAGUAUGCGGACAGAAACACAGCACGCCAUUCGGUGCGAAUGUCAUGCUCAGACAAAACAGGGUCCUGGGGAGUGGUGGAAAUUACCCUCCGCUGCUCUCACUUGGGAACGUCCGGGCUCCGUUUUGCAUUCUGUUGCAGUUAGAAAAUGUUGCCCCGAGGCGUCAUUACUUAAACAAGCAUAUGGGAAGAGAAAACGGUGUGCCAGUGAUAUGGACGAUAUACUUUCUAUGUGUAAGCUGAAGUCAAACUGGUGGGGCAUUCUAGUCUUGACAAGUCAAAAUUCGACCCCUGAACUUUCCCCUUUAAGUGUAGACCUUAAUUUUAAUGUCAAGUGAACAUACGGUAGUCCUUCCAGUGGCCUCUCUUUAACAACCAAUAAAGACCAUUUAUAAAUAUUUCCGGUUAUUAUUUCUCAUAUUACUUAUUCCUAAAGAGCGAACAUGCACAUGGAAAUGACUACUUGCUUGGACAACUCGAGGUGGUUUCAUUUUCAAAAUACGCCAAAGCUGUUCACUACUCAUUUAAAAAAAAAAUCCAUCGGAAAUAGGUUGCAACUAUGGCUCACUUCGCUAAUCUCAGAAACCAGAGGCAGGAGGCUCACUGAGAAUUUGAGGUUAGCCUGGGCUACAUAAUAAGUUCCAAGGCAGUCAGAGCUAUAUCAUAAGAUGCUAGAUUUAAAAAAUAAGGAACCGAGGAGGGAGGACAUUGCUCAGAAGUUACAAGUACUGGCUGCUCUUGCAAAGGACCUGGGUGUGGUUCCCAGCAUCCACAUGGUGGCUCGCCAUCAUGAUUAAUUCUCACACAUCUCACACCCUCUCCUGGCCUCUCUGUAGGCACUGCAUCCAUGUGGUGCUCAGACCACACAUUAAAUUAAAAAAAAUAAAGGGUUCAUUUUACGAGGAACUGACCUAUAGUUUUGUUUAAUACUAUGUAGCAGAAAUGAGUUUACAGAGUGUUUCACGAUACUUUAUAACUACUUGAAACCUGCCCUUGAACUGCACUCACACCAAAGGCUAGAGCUGUUGGCCUUCCAAGACUUGUUACUUUUAGAGAGGAUGUCAGCAGUCUGUUAGGGUUUUCAUUCCUUCACACUGUUCCCCUUUACCCUGUUGGUGGCCUGAACGCGUCCUUCCCAUCCAUUUCCUUGUAUCACUGCUUUUGGAUGUGGCCUUUUAUACCACCCCAGUCCUGCUACUGGUCUGCAUUCACAGCUAAACCCCACGCCCCUCGCAUUCCAGCUCCACAGAGUCUCUUCACUGGAGUCUCAACACCUUUUUGCCUUAAAAAAUGAUUCGUUCUUGUUACGUUCAUGGCCCACAUCUGGGUUUCAAGAGUUGAAUCUCAUCGGAUUGGAAGCAUUUUGAAGGAAGAGUCUGCUCCAGUUGGUCUCUGGUUGCCAGUCUCUCAUACAGUGCCUUGCACUGUGAUAAAUAAUAAUAAUAAUAAUAAUAAUAAUAAUAAUGUUUAUUAUUUAUCAACUUAUUGUCGGGUCACCGAUAUUUAGUGUUGGCCCCAUAUUAAAAUAUCUCAUUCCAUCAUGGAAAAACCCCUUCACCUAGAAGGGAGAGAUAUUUCUAUUUCCACCUUGUAAACGGAACCUGAAGAAGGGGUGAAACGGCUUGCAUGAGAGGACUGCACGGUCAGCGUUUCAGGGCUGAGGCUGGAGUACAGACUGAGCUUGUGUUGAGUGCUGAUACACUAUUUGACUUUAGUGUAUCCCAUUACUCUGAAAAUUAUCAAUCCAGCUCAGCGUUUAUGUAGCACAUUUCAAACGUCUAACGCAAACAUCACAUGUGAGCCAGACAGGUAAUCAAGUUCUUCCAGAACAUUCAAAUGGCCACACCACUUAAGAGCAUAAAUGAAAUCAAGUAUGAAACAGCAGCAAAGUCACAGACUAUUCCAAACUAGAAAAAAAAAACUUGAUAAAAACAGGGAAAAUGAGCCAAAAUAUCAUAAGUCACAAAUGAGGGAUUUUUAUUUUAAUAGAACCCUGCUCUGAAAGUAGGAGAAAUGGGAAGAGAAAAAUGACCCACAUCUGAUGUUUGGCUUUUUGAAAUUUCUUUUUACGAGAGAAGUUUAUAACUUUACAGAGUAUGGCUAACAUAUGAACUAAGAACUGAAUCAACAACAAUCAUUCUUUAAAUAUUCCCCAUUCUUUUUGAUAAGCAGUUUUCUUUUAUAUCCUUGGAAAGAAACAUUAGUAAUUUGGGAUAUUCCAUAAUUUUUUUGCAUAAUUAGAGAUAAUUCCCUGUCUGCUUCCUUGUUCUUUACAGGGUCACUUCCUUACAGUUUGUUAAGGAACACAUUUUGCCAUAAAGCCGUGUGUCUUCUGAUAUAAUUACGUAAGUUCUAAAGUUAAUCGGAAUUGACGAGAGAGCCAUACAUAAGUAUAGACAUGGGGUUGGCAGUGGAGGAAACUUGGAAGUCACUGACCUAAGCGUGAAGCAGAGAAAGGAGCCGUUUACUACAGUCCACUCGCUGACUUGGUGGCCGCAGUUGGCCACCGUGAGCAAGUUUAAGGACUAAGCAGCUAAUUCUCAGCACAGACAGCUUCGCAGCACACAAUUUACCCUCUAACCCCACCUGAGCUGUUCUCCUGAUACCAGAAAAUGAGUCUCUGCAAAGCCCAUACAGGACAGUAAUUAGUCCCUACUAAUAUUGGAUUUAGUGCUUUGGAGUCACUCAAGGCGACUGUGGCAUUUACGUAUCAUUUAAGGUAAUGAGCCAGCGGCAUGGUUUUCUGAGAGGGUGGCUUGUUCCAUAGAAGUCAUGAAGUAGACCAUUCAACAUACAAAAAUCGCCUUCACUCUAGAAUGAUCUGAGUAUUCACUGGCGAGGAAGAAGGACCCGAAAAAUUAUUCCUGGCUAGUGAGUCUCAUGCUAUUCCUUAUCACACCUGUUUAAACCAGACCACAGCCAGAAUCUAUGCAGGGACACCCAAAACUGAAGUGGGGUGGGGGAAGGAGGGAGGGGGGAACAGAGAAAGGAAGGUCCAGGAGCUUAAGAAUAUAGAAAAGUCGUAGGUUGGCUCCCAUCAGAGAUCAAUACUGGGGUAGCAUUAAACAUCCAAUAUAAAGUUUUGGAAAUAUGGGUUGUAUAUAUUUUGUUCUCUUAGUUGGAAAUUAUGAUUAAUUUGAAGUAGUGUUAUCAAAAAUCACCUGAAAAAAAUUAUGAAAAUUGUGAAAAAAUACCAGGUACCUUACCCCUUGCUUUCAGAGAUAAAAUGUUUUCUCAAGAAGCAUUCCAGGAAGUGGUAAAUACAUGCCUUCAUAGGCUUCUCUUAAAGGAAGAAAUAACCUACUAAUGUCUCACACAAGACAAAGGAGACACCUUCAUAGACCUUCCUUCUUAACGAAAUACAAAAGGGUCUCAGUUUUAGUGAUGACAUCAUCAUCAUCAUCAUCAUCAUCAUCAUCAUGAUGUGAAUUUCUCUUGUUUAUGUUAGGGAAAUGAAUCCCUCAAACUUUUUCCCCAUCAUCUCACACUAGAGAGUCCUUGUGAGUUGCAGGCUAACGGCAAAUCAAUCCAUCUGUAUCAAUAUCAGGAAAGCUUUAUUUUGGUAUUCUUUCAUCUGUGAUUUCAAAGGACUUUAUCAAUGUUUGAAGCAAGACUUGCAUCAUUUCCCUUAAAGGAUAAAUAGGAAAAAAGUCUAAAUCCUCUUCGGUGUGAGGUCCUUAAGGGUGUGGACAUUUCUACUGUGUGAGAGACUCCAAGUAUCUAGCAUGACCUCUGUUACACACCACUGUGCAUUCUAGGUGGUACAUAGAUAGUGUUUACAGAUAACACAUCGUGUGUCCUUCCUACGUGUUCUCCAUCAAAACUGUCAU